UUUUUUUUAAAUUCCCAAAAUUGAUGAAUUUAACAACACAAAAUUUGAAAUCCCACCCACGUUCGCUACAAAACCUCAUCAUUUCACUAUGAUUGGAACCAUCUCUUGAGUGGUUUAUUAGUUUGCUUGUCACCUUCAGGUUUCUCAGAACUCAGCUUUGAGAACUUGGACUUGUAUUCUUCUAUAAGCAUAUCAAGUUUGUCU
rnacentral:misc_RNA from 1 species